GCUCGCCUGGUGGAAUCGGUAGACACUGCAGACUUAAAAUCUGUUGGGCGAAAGCCCGUCCGGGUUCGAGUCCCGGGGCGAGCACCA
rnacentral:tRNA from 1 species